rnacentral:rRNA from 1 species
AUGGCAUUCCAUUCCACCAUUGCAUUGCAUACCACACUGCAAUAUAACACAAUGUGCAGAAGCUGUCUGUUUUACAGUGUGUGUGAUCAUGCAAAAGAGUUCGAUUCAGACGCAAAGACCGAGAAUUCUGCAUCACAACAUGGCCCUCAGAUUUCAGUUCCAUUGCAGGCUAAUGUGGCGGGCUCCAAAGCUGGCGCUGGGGCAUGUCUGGGUGCACCGAAAGAAGCGGCGAGGCGAGGCAAGGCCAUGGCAAAAGUGCGGCGGCGACGACGAGGAGGAGAAGGACGGAGAGGCAGACCUCAACAAGGGCCGGCCCUAGGUCAGUGGCAGAGCUUCAGCGGAAGCAACGGCUGA